AACGAACGCUGGCGGCAGGCUUAACACAUGCAAGUCGAACGCAUCCUUCGGGGUGAGUGGCAGACGGGUGAGUAACGCGUGGGAACGUGCCCUUCAGUUCGGGAUAACCCAGGGAAACUUGGGCUAAUACCGGAUACGUGCGAGAGCAGAAAGAUUUAUCGCUGAAGGAUCGGCCCGCGUCUGAUUAGCUAGUUGGUGAGGUAAUGGCUCACCAAGGCGACGAUCAGUAGCUGGGCUGAGAGGAUGAUCAGCCACACUGGGACUGAGACACGGCCCAGACUCCUACGGGGGGCAGCAGUGGGGAAUAUUGGACAAUGGGCGCAAGCCUGAUCCAGCCAUGCCGCGUGAGUGAUGAAGGCCUUAGGGUUGUAAAGCUCUUUCGGCGGGGACGAUAAUGACGGUACCCGCAGAAGAAGCCCCGGCUAACUUCGUGCCAGCCGCCGCCGUAA
rnacentral:rRNA from 1 species